UCUACAUCUCUAGCUCAUUCUUUCCCCAGUGCCUUGAAUAUCCCUCUCCUCCAUCCUUUGCCAUUUCAGAUGUCACCACUCCUAGAAGCCCUUUCCUGCACUUCCUGGCUCCUCAGGUUUCCUGCUUCAUCCUGCACCUGCCUUCUUGAAAGAAAACAAGACAUCAGAUACUUAUUCAAAUAAUGGAAUAGCUGAUCAACUGGGUCUCCACACAAAAGAGAGUUAUCCAUGAUAAAAGAACAACUUUUUCAUGCAUUAUAUGUGACACAUGCAUGCUUUCUCUUAAGAUUUAUGAACCCAUGACUAUUAGUAUUGUUAAUAUAAUCAAACCUUUUACAGCCUCACUCCAAAGCUUAAACUUAUUAUCAAUUGCCUUCUAGAGGGGAGUCAAUCAAUUUCAUAAGUGCUUAAACACCUGCACUCUCUUUGAAUCGGGGAAAAAUCAAUACCAA
rnacentral:lncRNA from 10 species